rnacentral:lncRNA from 1 species
GACAACGAUUGUUUGUUUCUAAUAUUCUCCUAAUUUGUUCAACUUUAUGUUUUCUAGCUAGUUCACUUUUGAUUUUUUACCAUCACAGAAGUUGGAAGUACAAAAACAAUAUGGAAAUAAAAUACUUUUUUUUGCUGAAAACUAUGAUUUGAUUAGUAUUGAAAGCGGACACGAGCAUGCGGGCGAGACAAAAAUAAUAAUAAUUUGUUUUUUUUUGAUCAACUAUAAUAAUUUGUUUUGUCCAUUAAAAGUGAUUGAUGUUUGACCUCAACGUCCAAGUGCAUACCCCUUUUGAGCAUAUACAUAAAUACACCCACAGCCCAUAUUUGUAGUUAUGCAGUGACAUAUUUGAAUGACAACAUAAUCCAUCCACAUUCUC